rnacentral:rRNA from 1 species
UAAAAAGUCUAGCCUGCUCACUGAAUUAUUUUUAAGAGCCGCGGUAUUUCUGACUGUGCAAAGGUAGCAUAAUCGUUAGUUUUUUAAUUGAAAUCUUGUAUGAAUGGUUUGACAAAAAAAAGACUGUCUUUAUUAUUAUUAAUUGAAUUUAACUUUUAAGUGAAAAGGCUUAAAUAAAUUAAAAAGACGAUAAGACCCUAUAAAGCUUUAUAUUAAUUUAUUAUCUAAUAAAAUUUUUUUUUAUAAAUAUUUGGUAAUAAAUUUUAUUUUAUUGGGGUGAUAAUGGUAAAAUGAUUAAUAACUGUUAAUUUUGUUAAAACAAAAAUAAAUGAAUAAAAUUAAUGAUUGAAUAAAUGAUCCUAUCUAAAGAUUUAAAGUUUAAGUUACUUUAGGGAUAACAGCGUAAUUUUUUUUGAGAGUUCUUAUCGAGAAAAAAGUUUGCGACCUCGAUGUUGAAUUAAAAUAUCUAUAUAAUUGUAGCAGUUAUAUAAGAAGGUCUGUUCGACCUUUAAAUUUUUACAUGAUUUGAGUUCAAACCGGUGUAAGCCAGGUUGGUUUCUAUCUUUUAAUAAUUGUAAAAAUUA